AAUGGAAUAAUGUAGGUAAGGGAAGUUGACAAAAUAGAUCUGUAACCUUGAGAAAAAGAUUGGCUCUGAGGGCUAGGCAUGGGGGUCCCAAUCCCGAACCUGUCGACUGCUGGUGCCCUACUCGAGCUGCUCCUGCGAUAGAGCGGGUUGUCGUGUGUCGCCUAGGGGACAGACUGAGAACGGCUCCCUCGGGGGCCUUCUUUGGGUGACUAACAUUCGACUUAGAAUUGAUACAGACAAGGGGAAUUUGACUAUUUAAUUAAAACAAAACAUUGCGAUGGUACCUACGGAUGCUCACGCAAUGUGAUUUUUGCCUAGCGCUUUGAAUGUCAAAGUGAAAAAAUUCAACCAAGCGCGGGUAAACGACGAGAGUAACUAUGACUCUCUUAAGGUAGCUAAAUACCUUGUCAUCUAACUAGUGACGCAUCUGAAUGGGUUAAAAGGAUUUUCAUUGUCCCUGUCUACUAUCUAGUGAAAGCACAACCAAGGGAACGAGCUUGGCAGAAUUAGCGGGGAAAGAAAACCCUGUUUAGCUUGAAUCUAGUCUGACUUUGUGAAAUAACUUGAGAGCUGCAGGAUAAGUGAGAGCUCUCGGGAGAAAUUAAAAUACCACUACUUUUAACAUUAUUUUACUUAUUUCGUGAAUCGGAGGUGGGGCACAACCCCUCUUUUUAGACCCAAGGUCGGCCUCGGCUGACCGACCCAAGCGAAAGACAUUUUCAGGUAAGGAGUUUGGUUGGGGCGACACAUUUGUUAAAAGAUAACACAGGUGUCCUAAAAUGAGCUCAACGAUAACAGAAAUCUCUUGUAGAACAAAAAGGUAAAAGCUCGUUUGAUUUUGAUUUCUAGUACGAAUACGAACCAUAAAGCGUAGCCUAUCGAUCCUUUAUACUUUCAAAAUUUGAAGCUAGAAGCGUCAGAAAAGUUGCUACAGGGAUAACUGGCUUGUGGCAGCCAAGCGUUCAUAAAGAUGUUGCUUUUUUAUCCUUCAAUGUCAACUCUUCCUAUCAUUGUGAACUAGAACUCACCAAGUGUUGGAUUGUUCACACACUAAUAGGAAACGUGAGCUGGGUUUAGACCAUCGUAAGAUAGGUUAGUUUUACCCUAUUGAUGGUCGCGUCGUAAUAGUAAUUCAACCUAGUAUGAGAAGAACCGUUGAUUUGCAUAAUUGGUCAUCGUGCUUGGUUGAAAACCAGUGGCACAAAGCUACCGUGCACUGGAUUAUGACUGAAUGCCUCUAAGUAAGAACCUAGGCUAGAAGCAAUGCACGCACUCAUCGCCUGAUUGCUGACCCGUAGUAGGGGCCAUUGGCCCCCAAGGGCACGUGUCAUAGGUGCAUCGACUGUGGCCGACAAGUCGCGAGCGCCUCCUUAGAGUGUAAUUCCAACUGAGCAGUGGGUAGAAUCUUUUAAAGAUUACUUAAAUACGUGACAGGGUAUUGUAAGUGGGAGAGUAGCCUUGUUGCCACGAUCCACUAAGAUUCAGCCCUUUUAUUGCACCAAUUC
rfam:Gossypium raimondii Chr05_contig_794, whole genome shotgun sequence.